rnacentral:rRNA from 1 species
UACGUAGGGGGCGAGCGUUGUCCGGAAUCAUUGGGCGUAAAGCGCGUGUAGGCGGCCCGGUAAGUCCGCUGUGAAAGUCCAGGGCUCAACCCUGGGAUGCCGGUGGAUACUGUCGGGCUCGAGUCCGGAAGAGGCGAGUGGAAUUCCUGGUGUAGCGGUGAAAUGCGCAGAUAUCAGGAGGAACGCCAAUGGCGAAGGCAGCUCGCUGGGACGUGACUGACGCUGAGACGCGAAAGCGUGGGGAGCAAACAGG